GACGAACGCUGGCGGCGUGCUUAACACAUGCAAGUCGAACGGAAAGGCCCUGCUUUUGUGGGGUGCUCGAGUGGCGAACGGGUGAGUAACACGUGAGUAACCUGCCCUUGACUUUAGGAUAACUUCAGGAAACUGGGGCUAAUACCGGAUAGGAGCUCCUGCUGCAUGGUGGGGGUUGGAAAGUUUCGGCGGUUGGGGAUGGACUCGCGGCUUAUCAGCUUGUUGGUGGGGUAGUGGCUUACCAAGGCUUUGACGGGUAGCCGGCCUGAGAGGGUGACCGGCCAAAUGGGGACUGAGAUACGGCCCAGACUCCUACGGGAGGCAGGGGGGGGGAAUUUUGCACAAUGGGGGGAAGCCUGAUGCAGCAACGCCGCGUGCGGGAUGACGGCCUUCGGGUUGUAAACCGCUUUCGCCUGUGACGAAGCGUGAGGGACGGUAAUUGGUAAAGAAGCACCGGCUAACUACGU
rnacentral:rRNA from 1 species